rnacentral:rRNA from 1 species
AACGAACGCUGGCGGCAUGCCUAACACAUGCAAGUCGAACGAGACCUUCGGGUCUAGUGGCGCACGGGUGCGUAACGCGUGGGAACCUGCCCUUAGGUUCGGAAUAACUCCCCGAAAGGGGUGCUAAUACCGGAUAAUGUCUUCGGACCAAAGAUUUAUCGCCUUUGGAUGGGCCCGCGUUGGAUUAGCUAGUUGGUAGGGUAAAAGCCUACCAAGGCGACGAUCCAUAGCUGGUCUGAGAGGAUGAUCAGCCACACUGGGACUGAGACACGGCCCAGACUCCUACGGGAGGCAGCAGUGGGGAAAAUUGGACAAUGGGCGAAAGCCUGAUCCAGCAAUGCCGCGUGAGUGAUGAAGGCCUUAGGGUUGUAAAGCUCUUUUACCCGGGAUGAUAAUGACAGUACCGGGAGAAUAAGCUCCGGCUAACUCCG